AUCUGAAGGACCGAACUCAGCUGCCUGCGUAGCUCCGCUGUCGUGAGGUGAAGGUUCUCUACGGUUCUCCGUUUUAACUUCACCUUCCCCGCUGCCCUGGCUUAUAUACUGGCCAUUCCUACUGUGUUCCUGACCGGCUGACAUCAAAGGAGAUGACGUCACCAGAGACCUGCAGAAAUCUACCAUGGGCAUAUAUGUCAUCAACAAGGAGAGUGGAGAACCUGGACAUUAUGACGACGUUGGGAUUUUUGUUGAAGGACUAAUCAUUCUGGACAACAUUGGAUCUGUUGCCCGAGCUUGUGCCAUCAUGCUGGGAGUCAUCUAUACACUGAACAUGGCUUACCCCAAAGAGCUAAGGUACUACUAUGAAUUCAUUCAGAAAGUGCUCUUGCAAAUGGAUGGUGAAAGGCUUUCCCCCAAAGUCCUUGGACUGAAGAACAUGCCGGACUGUAGGAUUUCUUCAGCCGCUCGUGAAGCGAUGUCAUUUAAAAAAACAAAACACCAGUCAAACCUCAAAGGUUGGGAGAAGAAUGUGGAAAUGUUGAUGGACUUGGAAGACAUGUUUCAUGUAUUAAUGUGAGGAAGGUUACAUCCUCCUCAGCUGUUUAAGUCACAUGCUUCAUGUUACGUCAGGAUUUAUUCGCUAAGUCUGUUUCCACUGCACUUUGCUGUCAUGGCCUCCACCUCUGCCUAGUCUGAUUUCUCACAUUCACUGUGACAUAUAGGCUACAGUAUGUAUGAAUCAGAAUCGGUAUGCACACCAGAUUGGAGGCAGCAGCUUGUCCAUUCGAAGGGUUGGAAUUCAAACGGAUGUAGUAUUUUUUUGAAUUUGUAUUGUGCUAAAAUGCAUUGUUCUUUUAUAGUGGAAAUGGAA